rnacentral:rRNA from 1 species
GACAGAGGGUGCAAACGUUGCUCGGAAUUACUGGGCGUAAAGCGCGUGUAGGCGGCCUUGCAAGUCGGAUGUGAAAGCCCACGGCUCAACCGUGGAAGUGCAUCCGAAACUGCAUAGCUUGAGUCUCGGAGAGGAAGGUGGAAUGCUUGGUGUAGAGGUGAAAUUCGUAGAUAUCAAGCAGAACACCUGCGGCGAAGGCGGCCUUCUGGACGAUGACUGACGCUGAGACGCGAAAGCGUGGGGAGCAAACAGG